UACGUAGGGGGCAAGCGUUGUCCGGAAUCAUUGGGCGUAAAGAGCGUGUAGGCGGCCCGAUAAGUCCGCUGUGAAAGUCCAGGGCUCAACCCUGGGAUGCCGGUGGAUACUGUCGGGCUCGAGUCCGGAAGAGGAGUGUCGGAAUUCCGUGGUGUAGCGGUGAAAUGCGCAGAUAUCAGGAGGAACACCAAUGGCGAAGGCAGCACUCUGGGACGUGACUGACGCUGAGACGCGAAAGCGUGGGGAGCAAACAGG
rnacentral:rRNA from 1 species